UACGGAGGAUGCGAGCGUUAUCCGGAUUUAUUGGGUUUAAAGGGUGCGUAGGCUGGUAAUUAAGUCAGUGGUGAAAUACUCCGGCCCAACCGGGCGGCUGCCGUUGAUACUGGUUACCUUGAGUUUAGAUGAUGUGGGCGGAAUGUGUCAUGUAGCGGUGAAAUGCUUAGAUAUUACACAGAACACCGAUUGCGAAGGCAGCUUGCUGGGUCAUUACUGACGCUGAUGCACGAAAGCGUGGGGAUCAAACAGGAUUAGA
rnacentral:rRNA from 1 species